UACGUAGGUGGCGAGCGUUAUCCGGAAUUAUUGGGCGUAAAGAGCUCGUAGGCGGUUUGUCGCGUCUGCUGUGAAAACUGGAGGCUCAACCUCCAGCCUGCAGUGGGUACGGGCAGACUAGAGUGCGGUAGGGGAGAUUGGAAUUCCUGGUGUAGCGGUGGAAUGCGCAGAUAUCAGGAAGAACACCCGUGGCGAAGGCGGCUCUCUGGUACGUGACUGACGCUGAGACGCGAAAGCGUGGGGAGCAAACAGG
rnacentral:rRNA from 1 species